rnacentral:rRNA from 1 species
CGUACAGUGGAUGGUUGGGCUCAAGUAGCGACGAAGGGCGUAGCAAGUUGCGAUAAGCCCGGGGUAGAGGCAUGCACUCGUUGAACCCGGGAUUCCCGAAUUGCCCCGCGAGGGGCGCGUCACCCGCUGAAUUGAAAUAUCUUAGUAAGCGGAGGAAGAGAUACCAACUGGUAUACCAGGAGUAGUGCGAACGAAACUGGCGAAGGGCAAACCGAAUCCCUCCCGCGAGGGGGGUAGAGAUGUGGUGUUGCGGGCCUGCUUUUAGCAGUACGCGUUUAGGGCCGAACUCGCCUGGAAAGGCGGGCAAUAAAGGGUGAAAGCCCCGUAGGCUCUGGGCGCGGACGCGUGCAGGUUCCUGAGUAGCGCUCCCCGACUUGGGAGUGUGAAGCCGCCGGUCAUUAACCGGCAACCCUAAACAUAUCUUGAGACCGAUAGCGAAUCCAGUACUGUAAAGGAACGCUGAAAAGAACCCCGAAAGGGGGGUUAAAAGUGCCUGAAACUGUGCACGGCUACAAUCAGAUGCGGCGUGAAAGGAAUGACAACGACCGGCGUCGCAUCAUCCUUCUUGAAGCAAGAGCCAAGGAGUUCUAGGCAGUGGCGAGCAUUGAGCAUAGCGAAAGCGAUUACGCGCAACGGCGCAAGCCGCGAGGCGUGCGGUCCCAACAGGCCGCGAGUCACUGUUUACUGACCUGAAGCCGCACCGAGCUAAACCCGGGCAGGGUGAAGCCGUCCGUCAGGAUGGUCGAAGCCCGCAACCAGUGCUGGUCUAUCCGCUUGGGUGACCUGGGCUUAGGGGUGAAAUUCCAUACGAGGGCGGCAAUAGCAGGUUCCCAUCGAAGUGAACCGCAGUUCAGCCUCUCUGGAGCCGGGCCUUGAGUAGAGAUACUGAUUAAAGGGAACGGGGGCGAAAGCCUUCACCCUUCAGUCAAACUCCGAAUUCAAUGCCGGCGUAGAUGGAGGGAGUUGGGGGAGCGGGUUAAGCACGCUUUCCGAGGGGGGAACGACCCCCACUGCAGUUAAGGUCCCCAAGCAACGGCUAAGUGUUAAUCAGUAAGGUGUCCUGAACCUCAGACAGCGGGGAGGUAGGCUCAGAAGCAGCCAUCCUAUAAUCAACGCGUAACAGCGGACCCGUCAAGGUUCGGGGCGUCGCAAACUCUCGGGACUAAAGCCGUUCACCGAUACUGUGGCACCGUUGCAGUUUGCAACAGGUGAGUAGAUGGGCGUACGGGUCGGGGCGAAGCGAGGCCGUGAGGUCUCGUGGACCGUCUCGUAAUGAAGAUCUUGGCGUAAGUAGCAACGAUUCCAGGCGAGAAUCCUGGACGCCGUAAGGGCAAGGUUUUCUUGGCAACGCUAGUCGACCAAGAGUUAGUCGGUCCUAAACCCAAACGUAAUCGUGUAGGGUGAAAGGGAAAGGCGUUAAUAUUCGUCUACCACUCCAGUGGGCGCGGCAACGCAAGAACGUCUUCCAACGCUUGCGGACAAGCCCAGCACUCAUGUGGGUGCUUAACUGAACCAGACCCGUGAAGUCUCGUUGCGAGGAGCAGCGGGUCAAGUCGGGAACAGGGCCGCAAGGCCUUGGGCUGAUAUCCGAAAGCCCCUGAAAAGGAAGCGUUAACUAUCUGGAGUGACCGUACCGAGAUCGCGUACGCGUGUCCCUGGCGGAAAAAGCUAAGGCGUGGCAGGAUAACCAAGGCAAGGGAACUCGGCAAAUUGGCCCGGUACCUUCGGUAUAACGGGUGCCUACUUUACUUCCCGAGACUCUGUCAAGGGGGGUUCAGUAGGUCGCAGUGACAAGGGAACAGCGACUGUUUACCAAAAACACAGGUCCCCGCAAGGUCUAAAGGCUGUGUACGGGGGCCGACGCCUGCUCACUGGCAGUAUCUCAAAUCGGGUUUCAACUCGACAAAGGACUGCUAAAGAGCGGGAGUAACUCUGACUCUCUUAAGGUAAACCAAAGUUGCCUUAACCAAAUCUGGCUAUAUGCUGGAAAACCUGUGAAUCUCACGCUACCAGUGGAAGCGACGUCUCGCAAGCUUUAAACGGCUUCGCGGGGCAACGCUUUCGCGGGUGACAAUGCGUUGAGUGCAGGCAAUCAGCAGGAAAGGCUGGAUGCUGAGUGGAUUGCCGGUUUCGUCGACGGGGAAGGCUGUUUUCACGUGGCCUUAAACAGGCUCGAGAAAAUGGCGACUGGCUGGACCGUCCUACCUGAAUUCAGGGUCGUUCAACACCAGCGUGACGAACGGGUGCUUCACCGAAUCCGGGAUUUUUUCGGGUUCGGCAAAGUGACCGUGAAUCACGGAGACCGAAAAGAGUUCCGCGUGAGGGGAGUGAAAAACUUGAGGAAACUCGUUUGUUUCUUCGGGAAACACACUCUCCAAACUACAAAGCGAGAAAAUCUCGCUUUGUUCGCGGAAGUGCUUUCGAUCAUGGAGUCGAAACGACACUUGAAAAAGGAAGGGCUGGAUGAAAUAGCCAGCAUAAUGACCCGCAUGAACAGGAAACCGGUUCCAAAGUAUCUAGAAUCCUCAGAGACUAUACGCCAGAAGGCGCAAAGCGCGCCUAAGAUAUAGUCCGAACCGCGCGGCGACGCGCGGAGGCAGGCGGAAACGCCCUGCCCCGCUCCCGAAAGGGGGCGAGUAACAAAAUUGAGCGUAAUACCUCGCCGCUUAAUUGGUGGCUUGCAUGAAUGGCGUAACGACUGUUCUGCUGUCCCUGUCUUGGACCUGGUGAAAUCGCUUCUCGGUGAACAUGC